rnacentral:rRNA from 2 species
UUUAGAGUUUGAUCCAUGGCUCAGAUUGAACGCUGGCGGCAGGCCUAACACAUGCAAGUCGAGCGGUAACAGAUCUAGCUUGCUAGAUGCUGACGAGCGGCGGACGGGUGAGUAAUGCAUAGGAAUCUGCCCGGUAGUGGGGGAUAACCUGGGGAAACCCAGGCUAAUACCGCAUACGUCCUACGGGAGAAAGGGGGCUCCGGCUCCCGCUAUUGGAUGAGCCUAUGUCGGAUUAGCUAGUUGGUGAGGUAAUGGCUCACCAAGGCGACGAUCCGUAGCUGGUCUGAGAGGAUGAUCAGCCACAUCGGGACUGAGACACGGCCCGAACUCCUACGGGAGGCAGCAGUGGGGAAUAUUGGACAAUGGGGGGAACCCUGAUCCAGCCAUGCCGCGUGUGUGAAGAAGGCCUUCGGGUUGUAAAGCACUUUCAGCGAGGAAGAACGCCUAGUGGUUAAUACCCAUUAGGAAAGACAUCACUCGCAGAAGAAGCACCGGCAA